rnacentral:rRNA from 1 species
ACACGGAAUUGAGACACGUUCCAGACUCUUCCGGGAGUCAGCAGUGGGAAAUCUUGCACAAUGGGGGCAACCCUGAUCCAGCCCAUGCCGCGUGAGUGAAGAAGGCCUUCGGGUUGUAAAGCUCUUUCGUGGGAACUGAUAACGGUUACGGAUAAUACCUGUGACCACUGACGGUACCCCAAGAAGAAGCACCGGCUAACUACGUGCCAGCAGCCGCGGUAAUACGUAGGGUGCGAGCGUUAAUCGGAAUUACUGGGCGUAAAGCGUGCGCAGGCGGUUUGUUAAGUCAGAUGUGAAAGCCCCGGGCUUAACCUGGGAACUGCGUUUGAAACUGGCAAGCUAGAGUCUGUCAGAGGGGGGUAGAAUUCCACGUGUAGCAGUGAAAUGCGUAGAGAUGUGGAGGAAUACCGAUGGCGAAGGCAGCCCCCUGGGAUAAGACUGACGCUCAUGCACGAAAGCGUGGGGAGCAAACAGGAUUAGAUAUCCUGGUAGUCCACGCCCUAAACGAUG